UACGGGGGGGGCAAGCGUUGUUCGGAAUUACUGGGCGUAAAGGGCGCGUAGGCGGCGUGGUAAGUCACUUGUGAAAUCUCCGAGCUUAACUCGGAACGGUCAAGUGAUACUGCUGUGCUAGAGUGCAGAAGGGGCAAUCGGAAUUCUUGGUGUAGCGGUGAAAUGCGUAGAUAUCAAGAGGAACACCUGAGGUGAAGACGGGUUGCUGGGCUGACACUGACGCUGAGGCGCGAAAGCUAGGGUAGCAAACGGG
rnacentral:rRNA from 1 species